AUCUGGCAACUCCGCGCGAGCUUGAAUAUUCGUUACAGUUAUAUUAAAAUAAUUGUACAUUUUAUAUUUUAAUGAUAUAAGUGCAGUGGACGCAAGCGGUAGUAAACUUGUUGAGCGCUGGAUAAAUGGAAAGGAAAUGGAUCGUCUUUGAAAUAGUAACAAAAACUACACAUAAGGAUACAAUAAGCGCACAGAUUCAAAUGACAAGCAGGCAUCCGUACUCCUAGUCCCUCUUGAAUCGGUCCAGAUCCUGCCAUUUCCGUUCCCGUCUAGCCCUUACCCUCUGCACCAGG